CCUACGGGUGGCUGCAGUCGGGAAUAUUGCACAAUGGGGGAAACCCUGAUGCAGCGACGCCGCGUGAGUGAAGAAGUAUUUCGGUACGUAAAGCUCUAUCAGCAGGGAAGAAAAUGACGGUACCUGACUAAGAAGCCCCGGCUAACUACGUGCCAGAAGCCGCGGUAAUACGGAGGGGGCAAGCGUUAUCCGGAUUUACUGGCGGUAAAGGGAGCGUAGACGGCAGCGCAAGUUCGGAGUGAAAUCCCAGGGCUUAACCAUGGAACUGCUUUGGAAACUGUGCAGCUAGAGUGCAGGAGAGGUAAGCGGAAUUCCUAGUGUAGCAGGGAAAUGCGUAGAUAUUAGGAGGAACACCAGUGGCGAAGGCGGCUUACUGGACUGUAACUGACGUUGAGGCUCGAAAGCGUGGGGAGCAAACAGGAUUAGAUACCCCAGUAGUC
rnacentral:rRNA from 1 species